rnacentral:lncRNA from 1 species
AAAAAAAAAAACUGAUGUUGUGGCAGUUCCGGGCAGUUGUUUGCGGUGGUGGUUACUUCCAUCUUUCUCUGCCCAUUAUCCCCACAACUUCCAUCAGUCUCCUAGAAACCUGGUAGUGCUCUCAAAUUCAGUUUACGCUUGCAAGCAGUUGACGACGGUUCCCCACGCUCCCGUAAUUUUUGAAAAAUUAGGUGAAUGAAGAUGGUAGACAUGUCCCUACGAUUGAAGGAGUGAGCAGGGGUCGAUUUAAUUGGUCUAGGGCCAUACCCAUGAGUUCAAGAUGUUCUUCCAAUUGUUGUUACAAAAAUCACCCCUAAAUUCAAUGAUUGAGUUCGAUUGGUCAUGCUUAAGGUUUCAUUAGAAAUGUUUGAAACCUUGAGCAGAAGAAACCAAAAUGGUUUUCUCCAAAGCCAAGGAAAUUGUUUCCUCAAAUCCCCUUAUCAUAUCCAGGGUAACUACAAAACAAAAUGAGGUAGAGAUGAAGGCUUUCACACCGUGACUAAACUUCAAGGACUAUUUUGGCAGUUUACUCUUUUUAUUAUAAAGUUUCUUUCAGCUUACUUAGACUACGGGUUAUGGAGGGGCUUGGGUUGGGGGCAUUGCUGGCGAGUGUGGGAUCCACAAGAUAAUAUUCAAAACAAGGGGUGUGGUGUGGUCUAGCCAGCGUUGCUUGGCAACCGCCGCCCCAACCCACGGUCUUAGUUCUGACUUUGUACAGAGUGUUCGGUUACAUGUAAAAUUAUGGCUCCCAAAUGCUCAUUUGUUAUGGAAUGCCUUGCAGCAACAGCAAGUACAGAUAUAAAACCUAGUGGAGAAAUUAUGGUUUUGGAUAGAUUUUCUCAUGCGAGUUUAAUAAUUUGAUACCUUGAUUGCUACACUUUAAUUUUAAUUGUUGCUUGCUAAUAUGAUUUUUAACAGUUCCACAGUUUCAUGGAGGUAGUAUGCUUAACUUGAAGAUAGUUUAGUUUUUAAAACUUCAAUCUGUUGAAUAUUCAUUGUUCCAAGAAUUUAAAGUAAUCAAUAUCAUUUUUUUUUUGCUUCGAAUAAAUCAGGUUGAACAUCUUCCGGUUAUUUCACCCUCACAACAUCAAAAGGAGAGUGUUGCUUGCCUUGCUGAGAGGGUAGUUUCUAAAUAUAAACAAGUUAGUAUUGUAUGAUUGGGAAUCAGCUCAUGGAAACUACAAUGAUCAUGUCAAUACACAUAGCUUUAAUUGUCUAUAAGCAUGCCGUUGAAAUAUGGAAGCUUAUUGAUGAAACUUGGACAAAGGUGUUUGCUCAUCCGGAUGUUGUGUGUAUAUCAUUGUCGGUGAAGUCAUUUUUUUCUAAUAUGUGAAUUCAAAUGGCAAAUGCCUUGUGAUACUAGAGUGGAGAGAUUUCUUUUGUCUACCAUUUACUUUUGCAUGAAAAUGAUGGUGAUACUAUUCAUAUUUCAGUAGUUUACCAAUUUUAUUAUUCCUUUACCAGUUUUAACAUUCAUCACUUUGUGGUUUACCAUUAACAUUCGUUUUUCCUUUG